rnacentral:lncRNA from 1 species
UUUUAAAAUUUUAAAAUUUAAUUUUGAUUUUUAAAAUUUAAAAGUUUAUAUUUUAAAUUUUAAAAUAUAAAUAUAAAAUAUAAAAAUUCUAAUUCUAAUAUAAAGAAAAGAAUAAUAUUAUUAUUUUUUAUUUAUAACUAUCCACUUUAAUUCUUAUUCCAUCUUACCUAACCAAACGCAAUUUUUCUUAUUUUCAGGAAUAACUCAAUUUUCAUCUAAACGCAAAAUUGAUCUAAUCCCUGCUUAUACCUCAAUUUAUAUCUAUCCCCGGAAUACCCACUUUUUGCUUAUUCUCGAACCAAACGAUACCUGAGUGUAUGUAUUAGAAUUAAUCGAGUUUAAUAUAUUUUUCACUCUAGUUAUGUGUGCUAGAGUGAGGAUCUAGCUAAGCCCUAAGGUAUUAUGUUAGGAUUCGUCUGAUUUGAUUUGCAUGAGCUCUAAGUAUAUGUAUUAGAGCUCGAUCGGAUAUGGUUUCACUCUAGGUAGAUGUGCUAGAGCAAAAGGCUGAUUAGACCCUAAGUGUAUGUGUUAGGACUAGUCGAGCUUGAUUUGGCUUUCACUCUAGGAAUAUGUGCUAGAAUAAAAGAUUGACUGGACCCUAAAGGAUAUGUGUUAAGGGUUAGUCGAAUGAGCUCUAAGUAUAUGUGUUAGAGUUCGAAUGAACUUGAUAUAUAAUUUUUGACUGAAUUUUAAGUGUAUAAUUUAAAACUUUGUCGAUUUGGAGAUGAUCUUGCCUUAGUUAUAUGUGCUAAGGCGAUUGACUUAGUUCUAAAUAUAUGUAUUCGGGGUAGUCGAUAUUGCAUUUGAUUUUUACUCUAGAUAUAUAAGCUAGAGUAAAGAAAAGGUUCAUGAUGAACUUUGGACAUGAGCUUGAUGUAUGGUUCAUGAGAUUUGGUGUAUAGGAUUUGAACAUCAUUCAGUUCAUGAGGUUAAGGUAUAGUUCAUGUGGUUUAUGAGAUUUGGAUAUGGUUUGGUGUAUGGCUUAUGAGGUUUGGUGUAUGGGAUUUGGUUUAUGAACUUGAAUAUGGUUUAUGAAUUUGGUGUAUGAACUUGGUUUAGAGACUUGAUUUAUGAUUCAUGAACUUGGUUCAUUUGGUUCAUGAACUUCGUUCAUGACUCAUAGGGUUUGAUAUAUGGUUCAUGAUAUUUGGUUCAUGAACUUGGGUAUGAUUCAUGGAUUUGGUUUAUGGUUUAUGGACUUGGGUAUGGUUCAGGGACUUGGUUUAUGUUUUAUGGAUUUGGUGUAUGAACUUGAUUUAUGGACUUGGUUUAUGGUUCAUGAACUUGGUUCAUUUGGUUCAUAAGAUUGGUUCAUGACUCAUAGAGUUUGAUAUAUGGUUCAUGAGAUUUGGUUCAUGAACUUGGGUUCAUGAGAUUUGGUUCAUGACUUGGGUAUGGUUUAUGGAUUUGGGUAUGGUUCAGAGACUUGGUUUAUGGUUUAUAGAUUUGGUGUAUGAACUUCAUUUAUGGACUUGCCUCAUAGUUCAUGAACUUGGUUCAUUUGGUUUAUGAGAUUGGUUCAUGACUCAUAGGGUUUGAUGUAUGGUUCAUGAUAUCUGGUUCAUGAACUUGGGUAUGGUCUAUGAGAUAUAGUAUAUAGUUUAUAGGAUUUGGUGUAUCGUUCGAGAGAUUUUGUUCAUGACCUUGGUGUAUGGUUUAAGAGAUUUGGUUCAUGAACUUGAUGUAUGGUUCAUGAGAUUUGGUUCAUGAACUUGGUGUAUGGUUCAUGGGAUUUGGUUUACGAACUUGGGUAGCGUUCAUGAACUUGGUGUAUGGUUUAUAGCGUUUGGUUUAUGAACCUGGGUAUGGUUCGUAGUGUUUGGUUCACGAAUUUGAUUCAUGGUUUAUGGGAUUUGGUUUAUGAACUCGGGAAUGGUUUAUAGGGUUUGGUUCAUGAAUCUGGGUAUGGUUCAUGGUAUUUGGUUCAUGAACUUGGUUCAUGUUUCAUGAGAUUUGGUUCAUGAACUUGGUUCAUGUUUCAUGAGAUUUGGUUCAUGAACUUGGUUCAUGAUUCAGGAGGUUUGGUUCAUGAACUUGAUUUAUAUUUCAUGAGAUUUGGUUCAUGAGUCCAAGUUGGAAGUUGGGUUUGGGUUCUAUUCGUGGUUCGGAUUGGAUUUGAGUUUGAGUUUAUUCGUGGACUGAGUUGGAUUUGGGUUUAGAUUUUGUAGGUUUUGGGCUUUUAUGUGGACUUGAUUGGAUUUGGGUUUGGGUUUAGGUUUCAGUUUUGGCUUUCUUGAUUGGAUUUGGAUUUUUUGGGUUUAGGUUUAGGUUUUGGUUUUGGGUUUUCAUUUGUGGACUUGAUUGGAUUUGGGUUUUUAUUUGUAGAUUGUGUUUGGUUUUAAAUUUUUAUUUGUGGACUAGAUUUGAUUUUGGAUUUUUAUUUGUGGACUGGAUUUGAUUUUGGGUUUUUUAUUUAUGGACUGGUUUUGUAUUUGAAUUUUUAUUUGUGGACUGUGUUUGUAUUUAUUUUUGUUUGGAUUUAAGAUCCGAAGAAGGCUUCUUUAGACUUAUCCAAGUUUGAAUUUGUGAUCCGAAACAGUUCCUUUUUUUGAAAUUUGC